CAAAAGUUUGGUCCUGACUUUCCUAUCAGCUUUAGUUAAACUUACACAUGCAAGUAUCCGCACCCCUGUGAGAAUGCCCUAACAGUCCCCCGCCCUGGGACAAGGAGCUGGUAUCAGGCACAAACACUUAGCCCAUAACACCUUGCUCAGCCACACCCUCAAGGGAAUCCAGCAGUGAUAAAUAUUAAGCAAUAAGUGAAAACUUGACUUAGUUAAAACUAAAAAGGCCGGUAAAACUCGUGCCAGCCACCGCGGUUAGACGAGAGGCCUAAGUUGAUAAACACCGGCGUAAAGAGUGGUUAGGAAAUAACCUAGAACUAAAGCCAAAUAUUCUCAUAGCUGUUAUACGCACCCGAGAAUAAGAAGCCCCCUUACGAAGGUAGCUUUAAUUUAUCCGACUCCACGAAAGCUGUGAAACAAACUGGGAUUAGAUACCCCACUAUGCACAGCCCUAAACCUUGAUAGUUUAACACAUUUACUAUCCGCCAGGGAACUACGAGCCCCAGCUUAAAAUCCAAAGGACUUGGCGGUGCUUUAGACCCACCUAGAGGAGCCUGUCCUAGAACCGACAACCCCCGUUCAACCUCACCCUCCCUUGUUUUUCCCGCCUAUAUACCGCCGCCGUCAGCCUACCCUAUGAAGGACUUAUAGUAGGCAAAACCAGUACAACUCAAAACGUCAGGUCGAGGUGUAGCGCAUGAGAGGGGAAGAGAUGGGCUACAUUCCCUUAUUUAAGGGUAUUACGAAAAAUAUAAUGAAAAAUAUAUAAUGAAGGAGGAUUUAGCAGUAAGUAGAAAACAGAGCGUUCUACUGAAACUGGCCCUGAAGCGCGCACACACCGCCCGUCACUCUCCCCGAAUAAAAUAAACAAAUAACUAAAAAACUAAAAAAACAAAGGGGAGGAAAGUCGUAACAUGGUAAGUGUACCGGAAGGUGCACUUGGUUAAU
rnacentral:ncRNA from 1 species